AAACAAUCCUACUCUCGCUCUUGUUCUGAUUUAGUUCUUCAAACUCCUGAAAGACAGUGACACAGCUUCCUAUAGACAAUACCAUCAACUAUUCUGAAUAAAAUUUGAAUUUUGAAUGGGCACCACUUGAAACUUCCCUCAGCCUCAAUCCUGCUCUCAGUUUCUCCUUCCCUUCAGCAAGGCCUUCACUGGUCAUAGAGUUGGAAGCUCCAGAAUCCCUUUCCUUCCUUACCUGAUCCAGGCUCUUCCCAUAAAUAAAAGCACUCGCCUCUCUCAGAGCCAUAGCUAGGUGAUUUUGUGCGCCUGGCAGAACUGUCCAGAUUGCACCCCCAACCAUGGACAAAUUAGCUUUUCUUUCCACCUCUCCUCCAACCCCUCCACCCAUUCAAUUCACCCUCUAUUAAAAACUGCUGUGAACAAAAAUUGCCCUUUUCCCUUAUGGGGUAUCCAAGAGCCCAUAUAGAGUCCUUACAUAGGUUCCCUAUUGGUAGGAGAAGAUAACAGAGGCCAACCAGAGAAUAUUGAGAAGCAAAGCAGCUAGUAAGCUUGAUCUUUAUUGUUCUGUUGCAACAGGGUGCUCCCCUCACCCGCAGGAGAGGAGGAACCCAGAAAAAUAGUGCGCAAGGCCUUAUAAAGACUUUUGAAAUUGCUACCCUGUAGAUCAAGACCGGGACGCGGGUGGCGCUGUGGGUAAAAGCCUCAGCGCCUAGGGCUUGCUGAUCGAAAGGUCGGCGGUUCGAAUACCCGCAGUGGGGUGCGCUCCCGUUGCUUGGUCCCAGCGCCUGCCAACCCAGCAGUUCGAAAGCACUCCUGGGUGCAAGUAGAUAAAUAGGGACCGCUUACUGGCGGGAAGGUAAAUGGCGUUUCCGUGUGCUGCGCUGGCUUGCCAGAUGCAGCUUUGUCACACUGGCCACGUGACCUGGAAGUGUCUCCAGACAGCGCUGGCCCCCGGCCUCUUAAGUGAGAUGGGCGCACAACCCUAGAGUCUGUCAAGACUGGCCCGUACGGGCAGGGGUACCUUUACCUUUACCUAGAUCAAGACCACCCCCAGAAACAGCAUACAUACAUCACAGAAAAGGCGGUGUAAAACAGAAAUUUGAAUGUUUUUCUCCUGUCUGGCAGGUUACUUGAUUGGAUUUCCUGGGGAGCCUGGCCCAUCUUUUGUAAUGAUAAAUACUUAGUUCCUGGGCCAGGUCACAGGCUCACACCCUAUUCAUUUCUUAAAUGUGCCUUUAAGACAGGAUUUGAGAGGAAAGAGACAAUGGGGAAGUUUCCCACUUUGACCUUGCAGAGAAAACAUUUGCUCAGUUUAGGAAGCAAAAUAGUUCCAGGUCGGUCUUCCUGUGCUGAUCUAUGUACGUGCUUGGUUGGUACACUUAUGAACAUUACAAUAUAUCUAAGACCUCAAAAUUCCUAUCACAAAACCUUUUCUUAUGAGGCAAUAAUCAAUAUUUUUAUUUAUAGACAUAUUUAUGGACAUAUUUUUAGCCGAUUUUGCGCCUCCCCUCACCUGUUUCCCUGGCAGGGGCCCACCUCACCACCCCUUAGCUACGGCCCUGGCCUCUCAUUUUCUCCCUUCCCACUCAUUCAUCAGUUAAAGGCGGGUGUGAGAGAUUGGCGUUAGAUCAAGGACCGCAUGUUUAGCAUGCAAACUCUUACCUUUGAGUGGGGCACACUUCUUAAAUCAUAAAAGAAGAAGAAUAAUACCCCAUCCAUCUGCUGUGUUUCCUCAGCCACUCUGGACGGUUUACAGCAUAUUUAAAAACAUAAUAAAAACAUCAAGCAGGAGGUUUUUACUAUGGAAAGGCCCCAAAAUUAGGAGCAUUGUAGCAUUUGGCACAUACAAGAACUUGAGCUCACAGCCUAUGAGGAGAAAAUCAUAUUCAUGUCCACUUUUGCCACAUUUUCUAUAACUCUUACCAUGCCUCCCCAUCGCUCACCUUUUUCCAAAAAGAGUCCGAGUUUGUUUUUCCACUCGUCAGCCUCGGUUGUCAUAAGAGAAUCAGGGUCAGAGAGGGGAGUAAAGGAAAAAUGAUCAUAAUGAUAUCAUUCUACCUCAAAGCCCCACAACAAUAAUAAACUGUGCCUUGAAGAACGCAUCGUUGGGAAUAUGUCAUCUUACUGUGACUUUUUACGCAUCGUUGAAUGUGAUAUAAUGUGUGCCUUUUCCAUUUUUUUGCAUCAUCUUAAUGUAACAUGCCCUUAUUGAAAUGAAUCUUUUCUCUACGAAGUGUACCUCUUUGAAGUGUACCUCUUUUCUCCAUGAAGCUAUCCUUUUAAAAUGUGUUUCCCUUACAAAAUGUAUUUGUGAAUAUAUCUUAACUGAAAUGCCAUAGUAUGCUGUACUUUUCUGAAUGUAUCCAAAAUGUAGUUUUAAAGAACGUAAUAAUCUAAGUAUUUCAAAAUGUAUGUACUUGACUCAA